AUUGAACGCUGGCGGCAUGCCUUACACAUGCAAGUCGAACGCGAAAGCGGGGCAACCCGCAAGUAGAGUGGCGAACGGGUGAGUAAUACAUCGGAACAUGUCCAGUAGCGGGGAUAACCUGUCGAAAGAUAGGCUAAUACCGCAUACGAUCUACGGAUGAAAGCAGGGGACCGCAAGGCCUUGCACUAUUGGAGUGGCCGAUGUCGGAUUAGCUAGUUGGUGGGGUAAAGGCUUACCAAGGCAACGAUCCGUAGCUGGUCUGAGAGGACGAUCAGCCACACUGGAACUGAGACACGGUCCAGACUCCUACGGGAGGCAGCAGUGGGGAAUUUUGGACAAUGGGCGCAAGCCUGAUCCAGCCAUGCCGCGUGAGUGAAGAAGGCCUCGGUUGUAAGCUCUUCGGCGGGACGGAAACGGUUCGCACUAAUACUGCGGACUAAUGACGGUACCCGCAUAAGAAGCACCGGCUAACUACGUGCCAGCAGCCGCGGUAAUACGUAGGGUGCAGGCGUUAAUCGGAAUUACUGGGCGUAAAGCGUGCGUAGGGCGGUCUGUUAAGACAGGUGUGAAAUCCCGAGCUCAACUUGGGAAUUGCGCUUGUAACUGGC
rnacentral:rRNA from 1 species